rnacentral:rRNA from 1 species
GUCUACAGCCAUGCUACCCUGAACAAGCCCGAUCCCAUCUGAUCUCGGAAGCUAAGCAGGGUCGGGCCUGGUUAGUGCUUGGAUGGGAGACCACCUAGGAAGACCAGGGGGAUUGUAAGCU